AUUGAACGCUGGCGGAAUGCUUUACACAUGCAAGUCGAACGGCAGCACGGACUUCGGUCUGGUGGCGAGUGGCGAACGGGUGAGUAAUAUAUCGGAACGUAUCCAAUAAUGGGGGAUAACUAAUCGAAAGGUUAGCUAAUACCACAUACGCCCUGAGGGGGAAAGCUAGGGACCGCAAGGCCUGGCGUUAAUGGAGCGGCCGAUAUCUGAUUAGCUAGUUGGUGAGGUAAAGGCUCACCAAGGCUUCGAUCAGUAGCUGGUCUGAGAGGACGACACGCCACACUGGAACGGAGACACGGUCCAGACUCCUACGGGAGGCAGCAGUGGGGAAUUUUGGACAAUGGGCGAAAGCCUGAUCCAGCCAUUCCGCGUGGGUGAAGAAGGCCUUCGGGUUGUAAAGCUCUUUCGCAAGGGAAGAAAACUUAUCCUCUAACAUAGGGUGAGAUUGACGGUACCUUGAUAAGAAGCACCGGCUAACUACGUGCCAGCAGCCGCCGUAA
rnacentral:rRNA from 1 species